UCUGCCCUCAGAUCCCCUCCUCUCUGUUCUCUUUGAGACCAACCCCUAACCCUAAUUACUGUUACUCAAAAUCAUCCCUAAUCCUUUGAAUCCCUGUCUGAUUUAUGGUGUCCUAUGGUUGUACGAAGCCUCUACUAUCUCAUAACUCCCUGGUUGUUUGAUUAUGUGAUUUUUUGUAAAGACCUGGAAGAGAUCUGGUCUAUAUAUCGUUUAAGGCUCUUCAAGAGUUCGUCCAUGGUUUGUGAGGAAUCUCUAUCAAAGUUCUAUGGUUAAAUCCUUGAUUCAAAGGCCAGAUUCUUUUACCAUUUCUUUUUUAUUCAAGAAACCCAAUGUCUGGACUUGAAUCAGUUCAGAUCUCCGUAGAUUUGGAAUGAUCCUGAGUUUAUCGUUGAUUUUCCUAAAAGUUUCUUUACUUAUUUACUAGAUAAUCGAUGUCUGAACAUUUUUGUUAUAUUAGGGUUUGCUUUCUUGUGUUUGUUGGUUCAAACCUCUAGGUAUCUGAAAUAUUUUUAAACUUCCAUGGCUACUUUUCUAGGUUCUUUUACCCCUCUACUAUUGACCGAUUUUUAAACACUACAAUACUUCAGGUUUUUUGACUUCUAUGACUUCUGUUUGUUUGAAUCUCUAUAUGUUAAAACACCUUCUAGUUUUCUGCUUUAAGUGUUUUCAAACUAGUGUUUCAUCCAUUUAAGUUUUCUUCUAAAUUUCUUAAGUGUGUGACUGUGGUUCUCUUUACUUGUUCGACCGUUUUUCAUAUCUAUGUUUUAAUCCCUAGUUUUUUGGCUUACUUCACAUGAUUAUUUCAAUAUUUUUACUUGUUAUUCUUUAGUUCUGUCAAUUAAAAGGGAUUGACUGAUUUUGUUUGCCUAAUUAGGGUUUAAAUUAUAUUUUUAUCGAGAUUGGUACUUCUCUGUGAUCUAUUUCCUUAUUUUGUGACUCACGACUGGUACUAGUUCUCUUAAUUGGUUUAUUCGCCUGACUUAUGGGAUUCAAUUGCUUUAACCGACUCCUAGGGGGUAUUUGAUUAAUUUAUUUACCUUAUUAAAACUGUAACUUGGAUGUAAUUGAUUCUUCCUAAUAUAAAGGGAUGUUUUCCAGAUUCUUUUGAAUUAUUUGAUUAGGAUUAUCCCCAAUCAACUAUUUAAUUUUACUUGCAUACCUUAUCUGGAACUCCUAAUUAUUCUUUGCCUUAUCUGUGUUACUCUGUUGAGUGCUAUUAAUCUCCCAAUUUUGACUUUUGAAAGGAGACAAACACUAGUACAUGUAUACUCUCACUCUCUCAAAGGCUCUUUAUUCUCUUCUAUCACUUGUAAUUCUCACUAAUCCACUCGACUAUAAGCCAAGGCUGGUUAUUUGCGCCAUCUCUGCUCUAUACUCUGUAUUCUCUCCUUAAUUGGUAUGUUCUUAUUCAAUUCCCAUUCCAAAAUUACGUGUUUUCUUUGUUGCUGCAGUUCAUUUAGUUAUGAUUUCCAUUUCUAGUUACCAUUCUACUGUCAUGUGCUCAAUAUGUAAUUAUGGUGCCUAGAAUAUACUACCUAACUACUCUACCACUUAGCAUGAUUGAAGUUUGUUUUGUUAAAAGCUAUGACUAGUAUAUUUACCAAUAAGGAUCCGUUUGGCAUGCCCAAUCCUACUUUUAGAUAAUUGCAUGAAUCCUAUCUGUUCACUAGUAUGUCCAAGCUACAUUGUUUGUUUACUAUCUCAUCCAUCAUGUCUACAUCCGGUUUGUUCUAUAUGCGAUUAGUAUUUCUAAACAUUGAAUGUUUCAUGAAGUGAUUGCCUAGCCUGUCUUGCUUAUUCUAUUUUCACUAACGAGAUCAUGUUAAAGCAUCUAGCCCUACAAAGUAUUCUAGUUGUGUGUUUAAGACUUAUGUGUUAUCAACAUUUCUUUAUUGUAAUCUUUGUAACCAACUUUGUGAAUUACCUAAUCUCAUUUGUAUAUUCAUUUGCUUAUACACUAGGUUGUAUUCUAUAUGUCUCUCAAUCCCUAUCUCCCUCUAUGUAGAGUCUGUUUACCAAAAUGUUUCUGAAACUGUGUUUCUAUGACUUGCUCUCUUAUUUCAAAAUGAUCUUCAUUUUUCUCAAAUUUUUUUCCAUCCUAAAUAUGUAUCGGUUUCAGAAAAUCUUUUCAUCCCUAAGGCCCUCUUGCUACUGUUUACCAAAACUCUUUCGAGCACUCUCACUUAUUUUUAGGUUAUUAAGUUGUGCCCCUCUGGUAUGUGUACUGCUUAAAGAUCCCUAAGAUCUCUCUUAACUCUGGUAUAUUAGGAUUGCCACUUCCACACUGCACAUAAUCAAUCUUUGUUUUAGGAAAGUCUGGGUGUGAGCAUUGCCCGGGAUCCUUGAGGUUCUUAAAGAACUCUAACAUACCUAGACACAAAUUGGCUUAUGGAACUUUGGGUAUUUAAGACUAGUGAAGGCUUGGUACACCAGGAUUUCUUUGGGCCUGCUUCAAGCUCCCUAUUGCUUAACUUCUAUUCUAUUUAUGUAAAUUAUGUUCAAUUUUUGGUCUAUCAUAAUUAUCGUAAACAAAUAUUGGGGCGACUAAUGAAAGGGAGGGUAGUUACAUAUUGUGGGUAAAGUUGGGGUAGAAAACAUGCAUAUAGGGUCCAUUUCAAUUCAAAUGUGUUUUGGUAGAUAACAUGCCUAUAUGGUUCAUUUCAAUUCAAAUGUGUUUUUUUGGAUGACUUGCCUGUAGGGGUUCAUUUGGUUCAAAAUGUGUUGUUAGAUAACAUGCUUAUAUGAUCUGUUUUGGUUCAAAUAAAUUCUGAUUGCUUUACUUUUACGUAAUUAGAAGCCAUGCCUAUAGGAUCUGAAUCACCUGUAAUAAUUAGAGAUCAUGCCUAUAGGAUCUAAAAUUAGUCUAACUUUAACUCACACCUGUAAGUUCUGAAUCAAAUUAACCAACGUACUCGUUGUAUUAGUUAACAUUACCAGAAAGCAUGCCUAUAGGAUCCAAAUUAUUCGUUUAAAAUCAUUAACUAUUUUACUGCAUUCUUGAUCCAUGAUUAUAUACCAUGCUCAUAGGACAUCAUUCUACAUGCCUAGGCAAGCUUGUAGGGCGAUUAAAAUUCUAAAAUUGUAAAACUAUGCCUUGUAUCUGUAACUACUUAUGUUCAAUAUGUCUAAAAAUCAAUAGGAAAACUAGGUCUUUAACACUUUGGUCCUAACUCAACACUGCAUAUUUACUGCUCACCUAGAUAUCAUGUUCUAGAGUUCCUCUUAAAUAUCUGAAAAAUAUUUUUUGAGACGUGCACUUACUUGCUUUGUUUAUAGAGGUAAAAUGUGAGCCUUCAAUUGUUCUCUCUUUAAUGCAGUCCUAAUUGUUUUGGUUGACGCCUAGACUUUUCUUAUUUAAGUACCUUAGGAUGGUCUAGAACAACCUAAACUAGGGGUCCUAAAUACCUACAAGGCAACAAGGAAGGGACGAGUAGUGCACGUAUAUGAUAUCUUUCAAGUUUGCUAGAACACUUUAGGCUACAACCAGG
rnacentral:lncRNA from 1 species